rnacentral:rRNA from 1 species
GCAGUCGAGCGAACAGACGAGGAGCUUGCUCCUCUGACGUUAGCGGCGGACGGGUGAGUAACACGUGGAUAACCUACCUAUAAGACUGGGAUAACUUCGGGAAACCGGAGCUAAUACCGGAUAAUAUAUUGAACCGCAUGGUUCAAUAGUGAAAGACGGUUUUGCUGUCACUUAUAGAUGGAUCCGCGCCGCAUUAGCUAGUUGGUAAGGUAACGGCUUACCAAGGCAACGAUGCGUAGCCGACCUGAGAGGGUGAUCGGCCACACUGGAACUGAGACACGGUCCAGACUCCUACGGGAGGCAGCAGUAGGGAAUCUUCCGCAAUGGGCGAAAGCCUGACGGAGCAACGCCGCGUGAGUGAUGAAGGUCUUCGGAUCGUAAAACUCUGUUAUUAGGGAAGAACAAAUGUGUAAGUAACUAUGCACGUCUUGACGGUACCUAAUCAGAAAGCCACGGCUAACUACGUGCCAGCAGCCGCGGUAAUACGUAGGUGGCAAGCGUUAUCCGGAAUUAUUGGGCGUAAAGCGCGCGUAGGCGGUUUUUUAAGUCUGAUGUGAAAGCCCACGGCUCAACCGUGGAGGGUCAUUGGAAACUGGAAAACUUGAGUGCAGAAGAGGAAAGUGGAAUUCCAUGUGUA